AACGAACGCUGGCGGCAUGCCUAACACAUGCAAGUCGAACGAGACCUUCGGGUCUAGUGGCGCACGGGUGCGUAACGCGUGGGAACCUGCCCUUAGGUUCGGAAUAACUCCCCGAAAGGGGUGCUAAUACCGGAUAAUGUCUUCGGACCAAAGAUUUAUCGCCUUUGGAUGGGCCCGCGUUGGAUUAGCUAGUUGGUAGGGUAAAAGCCUACCAAGGCGACGAUCCAUAGCUGGUCUGAGAGGAUGAUCAGCCACACUGGGACUGAGACACGGCCCAGACUACUACGGGAGGCAGCAGUGGGGAAUAUUGGACAAUGGGCGAAAGCCUGAUCCAGCAAGGCCGCGUGAGUGAUGAAGGCAUUAGGGUUGGAAAGCUCUUUUACCCGGGAUGAUAAUGACAGUACCGGGAGAAUAAGCUCCGGCGAACUCCGUG
rnacentral:rRNA from 1 species